rnacentral:rRNA from 1 species
ACGAGUACCCAUUGGAGGACAAGUCUGGUGCCAGCACCCGCGGUAACUCCAGCUCCAAUAGCGUAUAUUAAAGUUGUUGCGGUUAAAAAGCUCGUAGUUGGAUCUCAGUGCGAGACGGACGGUCCACCUACCGGUGGUCACUGUCCGGUCUCCACACCAGCCGGUUUCCCUGGAUGAUCUUCACCGGUUGUCUUGGGUGACCGGCAAGUUUACUUUGAAAAAAUUAGAGUGCUCAAAGCAGGCGCGACGCCUGGAUAAUGGUGCAUGGAAUAAUGGAAUAGGACCUCGGUUCUAUUUUGUUGGUUUUAGGAACACGAGGUAAUGAUUAAGAGGGACAGACGGGGGCAUUCGUAUUGCGACGCUAGAGGUGAAAUUCUUGGACCGCCGCACGACGAACUACUGCGAAAGCAUUUGCCAAGAAUGUUUCCAUUAAUCAAGAACGAAAGUUAGAGGUCCGAAGGCGAUCAGAUACCGCCCUAGUUCUAACCAUAAACGAUGCCAGCCAGCGAUCCGGCUGUGUUCCU